rnacentral:rRNA from 1 species
UACGUAGGGUGCGAGCGUUAAUCGGAAUUACUGGGCGUAAAGCGUGCGCAGGCGGUUUUGUAAGCCAGAUGUGAAAGCCCCGGGCUUAACCUGGGAAUGGCGUUUGGGACUGCAAGGCUUGAGUGCGGCAGAGGAGACUGGAAUUCCUGGUGUAGCAGUGAAAUGCGUAGAUAUCAGGAGGAAUACCGAUGGCGAAGGCAGGUCUCUGGGCUGACACUGACGCUCAUGCACGAAAGCGUGGGGAGCAAACAGG